rnacentral:tRNA from 1 species
AAUGUAGUGCCUGAUUAAAGGGUUAUUUUGAUAGAAUAAGUCAUGUAAAAUUAUUUACCUUCAUUA